rnacentral:rRNA from 1 species
AGGAUGAACGCUAGCGGCAGGCCUAAUACAUGCAAGUCGAACAGGAUUUGGGAGCUUGCUCCUGAUGAGAGUGGCGCACGGGUGCGUAACACGUAUGUAACCUACCUUAAUCUGGGGUAUAGCCUCUCGAAAGAGAGAUUAACACCGCAUAACAUUAUCGGAUAGCAUUUUCUGAUAAUCAAAUAUUUAUAGGAUUAAGAUGGGCAUGCGGAACAUUAGCUAGUUGGUAAGGUAAUGGCUUACCAAGGCUACGAUGUUUAGGGGAUCUGAGAGGAUGACCCCCCACACUGGUACUGAGACACGGACCAGACUCCUACGGGAGGCAGCAGUAAGGAAUAUUGGUCAAUGGGCGCAAGCCUGAACCAGCCAUGCCGCGUGCAGGAAGACGGCCCUACGGGUUGUAAACUGCUUUUGACGGAGCGAAAAGGCUUUCUUAAUACAGGGAUCAAUGACGGUACCGUAAGAAUAAGCACCGGCUAACUACGUGCCAGCA